UACAGAGGGGGCAAGCGUUGUUCGGAAUUACUGGGCGUAAAGGGCGCGUAGGCGGCCUUCUAAGUCGAACGUGAAAUCCCCGGGCUCAACCCGGGAACUGCGUCCGAUACUGGAAGGCUUGAAUCCGGGAGAGGGAUGUGGAAUUCCAGGUGUAGCGGUGAAAUGCGUAGAUAUCGGGAGGAACAUCGAUGGCGAAGGCAAUCACCUGGGCCUGAACUGACACUGCGACACGAAAGCGUGGGUAGCAAACAGG
rnacentral:rRNA from 1 species